UAAGACGGAGGGCGCAAGCGUUGUUCGGAAUUACUGGGCGUAAAGCGCGGGCAGGUGGUCCUUUAAGUCCUUUGUGAAAUCCCGGGGCUCAACUCCGGAUGUGCAGAGGAUACUGGAGGACUAGAGACCGGUAGAGGCGAGUGGAAUUCCUGGUGUAGCGGUGGAAUGCGUAGAUAUCAGGAAGAACACCUGUGGCGAAGGCGGCUCGCUGGGCCGGUUCUGACACUCAUCCGCGAAAGCGUGGGGAGCAAACAGGAUUAGAUACCCUGGUAGUCCACGCCGUAAACGAUGGGCACUAGGUGCCGGGCGUAUAGACGCGUUCGGUGCCGCAGCUAACGCAUUAAGUGCCCCGCCUGGGGAGUACGGCCGCAAGGCUG
rnacentral:rRNA from 1 species